AACGAACGCUGGCGGCAUGCCUAACACAUGCAAGUCGAACGAGACCUUCGGGUCUAGUGGCGCACGGGUGCGUAACGCGUGGGAACCUGCCCUUAGGUUCGGAAUAACUCCCCGAAAGGGGUGCUAAUACCGGAUAAUGUCUUCGGACCAAAGAUUUAUAGCCUUUGGAUGGGCCCGCGUUGGAUUAGCUAGUUGGUAGGGUAAAAGCCUACCAAGGCGACGAUCCAUAGCUGGUCUGAGAGGAUGAUCAGCCACACUGGGACUGAGACACGGCCCAGACUCCUACGGGAGGCAGCAGUGGGGAAUAUUGGACAAGGGGCGAAAGCCUGAUCCAGCAAUGCCGCGUGAGUGAUGAAGGCCUUAGGGUUGUAAAGCUCUUUUACCCGGGAUGAUAAUGACAGUACCGGGAGAAUAAGCUCCGGCUAACUCCGUG
rnacentral:rRNA from 1 species